UGACGAGUUUGAUCCUGGCUCAGAUCGAACGCUGGCGGAAUGCUUUACACAUGCAAGUACGAACGGUAGAGGGGGCAACCCCUUGGAGAGUUGGCGAACCGGGUGAGUAAGUAUAGUCGGGAACGGUGCCCAGUCGUGGGGGAUAACGUAGCGAAAGUUACGCUAAUACCGCAUACGAUCUAAGGAUGAAAGCGGGGGAUCGCAAGACCUCGCGCGAUUGGAGCGGCCGAUAUCAGAUUAGGUAGUUGGUGGGGUAAAGGCUCACCAAGCCAACGAUCUGUAGCUGGUCUGAGAGGACGAUCAGCCACACUGGGGACUGAGACACGGCCCAGACUCCUACGGGGA
rnacentral:rRNA from 1 species